rnacentral:lncRNA from 1 species
CCCUUUUCUUCUGUCUUUGAUUUUUUGGGUCCUAAAAAGGAAGGGGAUAUAAUCAAUAAUCAUUGUUGUUGUUUGUCAUAACUCAUAAGGAGGAAGAUUGCUGAGAGGAGGGACUGAAGGGAGAGUGAUGGAGAAGGAAAGGGAGAAGCAAGUUUACUUGGCUAGGCUUGCUGAGCAAGCAGAAAGAUAUGAUGGUAUUAAUUCUUUCUUUGAAUUUUUUUUUUCAAUUUCUUUUUGUGUAAAUCUUUUCUUUUGGGAAGUAGAGAUUGAAGAUAGAAGGUGGGUUUUGGUUAGAUUGUGGUGUUGUAUGGCAAAAUCCCGAGCUUUAUAGAUUUUGGUGCUGAAAUUUUAGUACUGUUUGGAUGAAGGUAUUCAUCAGAAUUUAUAGAUGACAUGAACUUUUAGUUCAGCUUUUUGUUACCAACAUGCUUUUUUUUUGGGAAGGGGGGGGGGGGUCGGGGUGUUGGGAGUGGGGAUUGGAAUGCUGAAUUUGUACUUUAAAUUGGCAAAAAAUUGAAUGUUUUACAUAUAUAAAUUUGGAGGACUAAAGGAAGUGCUAAACUUGUUGAACAAAAAAAGAAAAAUUUUGUUGGCAAAACACAUUUUUUACGUUGAUUUCCAGUAUAUUUUUCCAUGCUGUGGCUAGCGAAAAUAAUCUUGAAGAGAAGUUUGUAAUAAAAUGCUGUGAAUUCUUGUACAAACUCUUAUGAUGUGUUGAUUCUUUUGGUAGCUUGUGAAGCGACAAGAUAUCCAAGUUAGAAAGAUGAGGAUUUGAUUAUUGAUUGAGUGCUUAAACGGACUUAAUUUUGUCGUUGCUUAUUAGAGUUUUUUUGUGGAUCAUACAAUGCUUUGGCAUUUAUCUGUUUGUACUCAAUUUUAGUUGGAAAGUUCUAAUAUUGAAUUUUGAAAGAGCAAGAUGUGUUUUACAUUGAGGUGGUUGUGUAGCCAGGACUAUAAGUAAGACUAAACUCCACAUUUGAAAUUGGCUUACAUUUACAUGACGAUCCUUUUGUGGUUACUACUACAAGAUAUAAUCAAGAGAAGUAUGUAAAUGGACAUGUUUCUUUGACUUAUUUGAAUUUAUUAUAGUCGAUAUUAGACUUUCCAGUAGAAAGUUUCAUGGUUGCUUGCGGGAUUCUUUACAUACCUGUGGUUCCCAAUUGGUCUUGAUCUAGUUGGCCCUCAAUAGGGUUCUAGUUCAAAGGGGCUGGAUGUUAUCCAAUUGCUUGAAUCUGACUGCCACAACCCAAAGGCUAUUGGUCCUGUUUUUUUUUGUCACUCUGAUGGCUUGCAAAUUAAAAGGGCAGUUCUAGUCCAUAGCAAGCACAUCUUGACAAUAUGGUUACCAGUCUCUCUUUAUAACUGCUGCUUAAAGCAUUUUUCUUUUAUUUGGCCCCAAAUUGGGGCAGAAUAGGAGCUUCAUGAGGUCAUAAAGUUCUCCAUGACAAAUGAAUUCUGAACUUGAACAAGUUUUGGUUUUGCCAGGUUCUUGCUAGGUUUGUGAGAUCAUGGUAAACUUGACAAUUGUUGUUGGUCUGCAUGAGGGAAAUGAUGUUGAUAUUGAACCUACUACAUCCAAUUCGCCAUUUGAUCCUUGGAGAAGAUAUAACUUAGGUUUACUCAUCAUCUUUGAUAUGGCCUAACUAAUGAAGAAUAGAACUAACUAAAUCAUACUUGAAACUCAAAGGUUUUGAAGUUAAGAAAUUCAUUACUUGGUUUCUACUUCACUCGGGCAAUCCUAGUGAUCUUUGUUCAUGUUCCAAACAAAAAAAGGUAAAGUAAGAGAGCAGGUAAUAAAGAGAACAAAUACGCAGCAGGUCUGUGCUAAAACAUGAAGACAGUCUCUAGUUUUUCCUUCUCCUUGUAUUGUUAUGCUUUGCUUCUUGUUUUUCAGUUUUUGACUGCCUUGUCAAGGCAUGUUCCAGGAUAAGCCUAGCAGUAAAAUUUCUGGACAAUUGUAUCUUUUCAGCUGUAUGAGUGGCUUGUAUCUUAAUAUGCCUUUUAUAUUGUUCUUUAUCAUAUUUCUCUAUGAGCCACACCAUUACCCUGUCAAGUGACAAGAAUUUCAAUUCUCACAGUUCUUAUAUGGUUUUUUUCCCCCUUUUGUUUAGAAUUUGUUCUCAUUAUUCUCUUAUUGUUCCAGAGAUGGUUGAAGCAAUGAAGAAAGUUGCUAAACUGGAUGUCGAGCUGACAGUUGAGGAAAGGAACUUGGUAUCGGUGGGGUAUAAGAAUGUUAUUGGUGCAAGACGGGCAUCCUGGAGGAUAUUAUCUUCCAUUGAACAGAAAGAGGAGGGCAAGGGACAUGACCAGAAUGUGAAAAGGAUAAAGGGUUACAGACAGGGGGUAGAAGAUGAGCUUAUGAAGAUAUGCAAUGAUAUAUUGGCAGUAAUAGAUGAACAUCUUCUUCCAUCUUCCUCUACAGGAGAAUCAACUGUCUUCUACUAUAAG